GACGAACGCUGGCGGCGUGCUUAACACAUGCAAGUCGAACGGAAAGGCCCUGCUUUUGUGGGGUGCUCGAGUGGCGAACGGGUGAGUAACACGUGAGUAACCUGCCCUUGACUUUGGGAUAACUUCAGGAAACUGGGGCUAAUACCGGAUAGGAGCUCCUGCUGCAUGUUGGGGGUUGGAAAGUUUCGGCGGUUGGGGAUGGACUCGCGGCUUAUCAGCUUGUUGGUGGGGUAGUGGCUUACCAAGGCUUUGACGGGUAGCCGGCCUGAGAGGGUGACCGGCCACAAUGGGACUGAGAUACGGCCCAGACGCCUACGGGAGGCAGCAGGGGGGAAUAUUGCACAAUGGGCGGAAGCCUGAUGCAGCAACGCCGCGUGCGGGAUGACGGCCUUCGGGUUGUAAACCGCUUUCGACGGUGACGAAGCGUGAGUGACGGUAAUGGGUAAAGAAGCACCGGCUAACUACGUG
rnacentral:rRNA from 1 species